rnacentral:rRNA from 1 species
ACUCAAAUGAAUAGACGGGGGCCCGCACAAGCGGUGGAGCAUGUGGUUUAAUUCGACGCAACGCGAAGAACCUUACCUGGGCUCGAACGGCUGCAGCAACCUUCUGGAAACAGGAGGGUUCCCGCAAGGGACUGUAGUCGAGGUGCUGCAUGGCUGUCGUCAGCUCGUGUCGUGAGAUGUUGGGUUAAGUCCCGCAACGAGCGCAACCCUUGUCCUGUGUUGCAACUCCGAAAGGGGGCACUCUCAGGAGACCGCCAGCGAUAAGUUGGAGGAAGGUGGGGAUGACGUCAAGUCAUCAUGGCCUUUAUGUCCAGGGCUACACACGUGCUACAAUGGGCGGUACAAACCGUUGCUAAGUCGCGAGACGGAGCUAAUCGGAGAAAACCGUUCUCAGUUCGGAUUGCAGGCUGCAACUCGCCUGCAUGAAGCUGGAAUCGCUAGUAAUGGCAUAUCAGAACGAUGCCGUGAAUACGUUCCCGGGCCUUGUACACACCGCCCGU